rnacentral:rRNA from 1 species
GUGUAUGGCCAUACCACCCUGAACACGCCCAAUCUCGUCUGAUCUCGGAAGCUAAGCAGGGUCGGGCCUGGUUAAUACUUGGAUGGAAGAAGUGAGAGUAGCAUUUUAGGUUCACA